GGGGUUGUGGCUCAGAGGUAGAGUGCUCGCCUAGCAUGCAUGAGGCACUGGUUGAUCCUCAGCACCACAUAAAAAAAAAUAAAAUAAAAUAAAAAUAUGUGUCUAAUUAAAGCUAAAAAAUAUAUUUAAAAAAUCAAUCGAGCAGCUAGGAAUGGUAGCAAAUGCCUGUAAUCCCA
rnacentral:tRNA from 1 species